rnacentral:rRNA from 1 species
UGUGUGCCUUGGUAGUCUCAGAGAGUUUGAUCCUGGCUCAGGGUGAAUGCUGGCGGCGUGGAUAAGUCAUGCAAGUCGAAGGGGGCCCGCAAGGGCAACCGGCAAACGAGGUAGUAACACGUAGGUAGACCCCCCAGAGUCGGGCAUAGCCAGCCGAAAGGUUGGGUAAUUCCCGAUAGUCCCGAAAGGGUAAAGGUUUUUCGCUCUGGGAGUUGCCUGCGUAGUAUCAGCUAGUUGGUAGGGUAAUGGCCUACCAAGGCUACGACGCUUAGGGGAGCUGAGAGGCUGACCCCCACCGAUGGAACUGCGACACGGUCCAUACUCCUACGGGAGGCUGCAGACGAGAAUAUUCCGCAAUGGGCGAAAGCCUGACGGAGCGACGCCGCGUGAUUGAUGAAGUGCUUCGGUACGUAAAGAUCUUUUAUCGGGGACGAAGUUUAUUGACGGUACCCGAUGAAUAAGGGGCUCCUAACUCUGUG